rnacentral:SRP_RNA from 1 species
GCCGGGCGAGGUGGCGGGCGCCUGUAGUCCCAGCUACUCGGGAGGCUGAGGCAGGAGAAUGGCGUAAACCCGGGAGGCGGAGCUUGCAGUGAGCUGAGAUCCGGCCACUGCACUCCAAAAAAAAAAAAAAAAGAAAAAAGAAAAAAAAGCAUGUGGCUGCUUCCAGCUUUCUUUUUUUUUUUUUUUUCUUGAGACGGAGUCUCACUCUGUCGCCCAGGCUAGAGUGCAGCGGCGUGAUCUCUGCUCACUGCAAGUUCCGCCUCCCGGGUUCACGCCAUUCUCCUGGCUCAG